GACGAAACGCUGGCGGCGUGCUUAAAAACAUGCAAGUCGAACGGACUUCUCAUGAAGCUUGCGAUUGAGAAGUUAGUGGCGGACGGGUGAGUAACGCGUGGGCAACCUGCCCCUGAGCCCGGGAUAACAGUUCGAAAGGACUGCUAAGACCGGAUAUACUUGCGGUGAAGCAUUUCACUGCAAGGAAAGGGAACGCUCAGGGAUGGGCCCGCGUCCCAUUAGCUAGUUGGUGAGGUAACGGCCCACCAAGGCGACGAUGGGUAGCCGGCCUGAGAGGGUGAACGGCCACACUGGGACUGAGACACGGCCCAGACUCCUACGGGAGGCAGCAGUUGGGAAUCUUCGGCAAUGGGCGCAAGGCCUGACCGAGCAACGCCGCGUGAGUGAUGAAGGUUUUCGGAUUGUAAAGCUCUGUCUUCCGGGACGAUAAUGACGGUACCGGAGGAGGAAGCCACGGCUAACUACGUG
rnacentral:rRNA from 1 species